UAGUUAAUUUUUUAAUAAUUUUGCUCUUUCUUAAAUGAAGCAAGUGCUUUUUUUGCACUUCAAGCUAUGGGAUCAUACAUCACUUUGAGUGUGCAUCAUGCCUUUAAAUACCUUGAGUAUGGCAUGUGGAUUCUUGUUCGAGCAACAAAGUAGCUUUAUUACUUGCUUUGGUUAGUGCUUGUCAUGAGUGAAAAAAGGGGUAAAAUUUUGCUAAUGCAUAAUGCUGAUCAAACUGAAGUAGAGAGUUGGGAAGGGAGCUUAGUUGAUAGAUUUACCUUCAUGUGUUUUUUUACAAGAAUUGGCUACCACUGUGAACCAGCAACUAAGAUGUUGCAAAUCCAAGACUAUUGCUACUGCACUAAAUGUAAGCCCCUUUAUUUUGUUUGGUAUGGAAUUUUGAAAAUUACUGGGCAUUGGUUUUGCCACCAUUUAGUAUAUAGCAAAAAAGAAACAUUGGGUGUACUGGUAGGAUUUUUAAUUCAAAGAAAUCUUUCAAGAAUGUAAUUACAUGUUUUAAAUUGACCUUAUGACAACAGUAAGAAUUAAGAAGGAACUUUAUGGAUUCUUUUUGCAUUAAGUCUUCAAACGAUUAGAUCUUCUAUCUGGUUUACUUAGUACUGGCCCCUGCAUAUUUUAUUUUCUUGAUAGCAUAUUUAGGGUGACAUGCUUAAGGUUAGAGCG
rnacentral:misc_RNA from 1 species